rnacentral:rRNA from 1 species
UACGAAGGGGGCUAGCGUUGCUCGGAAUCACUGGGCGUAAAGGGCGCGUAGGCGGGGCAUUAAGUCUGGGGUGAAAUCCUGGAGCUCAACUCCAGAACUGCCUUUGAUACUGAAGAUCUUGAGUUCGGGAGAGGUGAGUGGAACUGCGAGUGUAGAGGUGAAAUUCGUAGAUAUUCGCAAGAACACCAGUGGCGAAGGCGGCUCACUGGCCCGAUACUGACGCUGAGACGCGAAAGCGUGGGGAGCGAACAGG